UUUUAACGGCUGCGGUAUUUUGACCGUGCUAAGGUAGCAUAAUCAAUUGUUUUUUAAUUGAAAACUAGUAUGAACGGUUUAAUUUACUUAAUUAGUUUGUAAUUUUUAAUAGUAAGUUAAAUAUAAAGUAAGAAUUCUUUAAUAAAUUAGGGGACGAUAAGACCCUAAAAGCUUUAUGAUUGGCAUUUAAUUGGUGAUAGCGGUGUUAUUAAUUCACUGGGGCAGUGAGUUUAGGUGUAUUUAAGUAUAAUUAAAAGCUCCUUUAAAUAAAGAUUUCAUGUAUAAGUUACUUUAGGGAUAACAGUGCAAUAUAUU
rnacentral:rRNA from 1 species